rnacentral:rRNA from 1 species
CUUUAKCUAWRCAAGUAUUAAAGGUCCUGCCUGCCCAGUGAGACAUUAAACGGCCGCGGUAUCCUAACCGUGCAAAGGUAGCGUAAUCACUUGUCUCUUAAAUAGAGACUUGUAUGAACGGCUAAAUGAAGAUAGCACUGUCUCCUUUAAUUAACCAGUGAAACUGAUCUCCAAGUACAAAAGCUUGGAUAAAAACACAAGACGAGAAGACCCUGUGGAGCUUAAAACAACCCUAUUAAACUAAAUAGCUAUGUUUUAAGUUGGGGCGACUUCGGAGAAAACCAAAACCUCCGAGCACAGGGCCAACCCCCCCCCUAACAGAGGCCAACAAGCCAACGACACCAAACUGACCCAGUCUAACUGAAUAACGGACCAAGUUACCCCAGGGAUAACAGCGCCAUCUUCUUCAAGAGUUCCCAUCGACAAGAAGGUUUACGACCUCGAUGUUGGAUCAGGACACCCAAAUGGUGCAGCAGCUAUUAAAGGUUCGUUUGUUCAACGAUUAACAGUCCUACGUGAUCUGAGUUCAGACCGGAGUAAUCCAGGUCGGUUUCU